CAGGCCUAACACAUGCAAGUCGAACGGAAACAGGACGCUGUGAUCUCUUCGGAGUGAACUUGUCGCUGUCGAGUGGCGGACGGGUGAGUAAUGCAUAGGAAAUUGCCUCGAAGUGGGGGAUAGCCCGGAGAAAUCCGGAUUAAUACCGCAUGUGCUCUACGGAGCAAAGCGGGCCUCUGAUUUAAGCUCGCGCUUUGAGAUAUGCCUAUGUCGGAUUAGCUAGUUGGUAGGGUAAAGGCCUACCAAGGCGACGAUCCGUAGCUGGUUUGAGAGGAUGAUCAGCCACACUGGGACUGAGACACGGCCCAGACUCCUACGGGAGGCAGCAGUGGGGAAUAUUGGACAAUGGGCGCAAGCCUGAUCCAGCAAUGCCGCGUGUGUGAAGAAGGCCUGCGGGUUGUAAAGCACUUUUAUCGGGAAAGAAAAACUCAGGGUUAAUACCCCUGGGCCUUGACGGUACCCGAAGAAUAAGCACCG
rnacentral:rRNA from 1 species